GCCUCUCUCUUCACUCUCAACACGUCCGGAGUGUGAAACCAUCUACAGACCAGUGGAGUACAAUGUGUUCAUUGGAGCCUCUCCAGAGUGUAGUGGUCAUCUAGACGGGAAAAUUGCAACCUAUACUGGAAUAGUGAGCUGUAACUCUAUAUCAGGUGCCUCUACUUUAAACAACAUCUUCCCUGAGGUCUUCAGCAGGAUCCCCUACGCUCUCUGGAAGAUAAACAGCAUACCUCUGCUGUCUUAUGGAGCUUGUGGCGAGACUGUCUUUGAUCAAAUAUGUAGCUGUUAAG